rnacentral:RNase_P_RNA from 1 species
UCCGGCGAGCGGGCGAUCGCGGGGAUCCUCGGAUCCUCGAGGAAAGUCCGAGCACGACAGGAUGACGGUGGUGGGUAACGCCCACCGGCCCGUGGACUGCGGGUCAGGGACAGUGCCACAGAGAACAGACCGCCUAUGUGGCUUCGGUCGCAGGCAAGGGUGAAACGGUGCGGUAAGAGCGCACCGCUCGGCCGGUGACGGUCGAGGCACGGCAAACCCCACCGCGUGCAAGCGCAAGCAGUCUCGAGCGGUCCUCGGACCGCACCCGUGAUCCGCGGGCGAGACGGGUAGCGUGCUGGAGGUCAUCGGCGACGAUGGCUCGAGAGACAUGAUCGUCACCCGGAGGGCCUCGUGCCCGACGGGGACAGAACUCGGCUUACAGCUCGUCAGCAGUC